AGCCGCCAUGCAGCUGCGCGAGUCCGCUCCGUGUCGUCUCUUGUUGCAGCGAUCCCCUAGGUUGCCCUCCUUCCUCGGCAAGGUGCCUGCGUUUCAACGACUGCAGGGCGCGCCGGAUCUCCACCCUACAACCUCGACCUCGGCCAUCGUCCUACACACACCCGCCAACAAUAGCAAAGCGUAACGGCAAACAAAAAUAAACUUAGUUACGAUUACCUGCCGAGUUGAAGGAUUCCUCACAUUCUCCCGUGGAUGCGAUCAGUAAUUCAAUUCAGGUGUGUUACUCACAGUUCUCUCCCUUUUUUUGGAAGCAGUCAGUAUGUUGAUUAAGAGUUCUCUCCCUUUUUAGUUUAGGGAUUAGACUAUGAGUAUACAUAUAUCAGGUUUACAGUUUAUAAAAUUCCUCUCUUCUUUCUUUCUUCUUGGUUUUUUUUCUGAAUAAAGGAGGAGAGGUUGCAUUGCCACUUAUAAGAUCUGUAAUCUGUACAACGAUAGGAGGAGAUGCAGGAUUUUUUUGUUUUAUCAGAACAAGGAACUAAUGUAAGACAAACCAAAAAAAGCUUUGAUCUUGCAACUUCCGGUGGUUUAUGCCACUGUCACAUCUCAUGCAAUUCUUGUAUCUGCAUUGUCUGAGGAGUGCAGAAGUUGAAUCCAGUAAACUUCAGCAUGUGCCAUCGUUCAGCUUUCCCUUAGUACUACAGAGCCUGCACUACAUACUACAAAGUGCAGGUGGAAGAUUUACUGCUUAAUGAUUAGGUUAACAAAUAAUAAUAAUUCACAAAACUUCAGUACAAAUAUAGGAGUAAACUGCCGUUAUUUGUAACUUUUUAUGAAUGCAGAGCAUCUACUGUUUCGAUCUAGACAUAGGGAGAGUUGGAAAAUAUCUUUUGUUUAGGUUGGUUCAUGAGAUAAGCAUUGUACUCUGCCUACUGCACUGCAUUCUUUUUUUUUUUUGAAACAAAACUGGCAGGAGAGCUGCCUAUUGUAUUAAAGAGAAAGAGCCUAGACAGGUGUGAUUCUGCUGGCAUAUUCUUAACUAGCACGCCUCACAUAAUGUUAGGCUACAAUUUUUCGUACAAAUCUGAACCUACCAUGUCAUGAGCCUUGCUGAUAAUGCUGCUGCAUUGCAAGUGUAGAAGUUUCUACUGAUUCAGUUUGCAUCAACGACACUUCACCAUAGGCACAUGCACUAAUUUAUCUUUCAGUACAGGUUGGUAAUUAUGGACUUCUGAACUUGAGAAAAAACAUGAUGUCUGAAAAUGAAAGCAAAAUUGAAACUCAGGCAGUAAAAGCUGGAAGGCAAUCAGGGAGAUUCGCCUCGGCCAUCCACGUAUCCAUCAAGAACAAGGUGCCAGGGAGAUUCGCAUCGGCCAUCG
rnacentral:lncRNA from 1 species